ACGCCUGAAGAUCAUCGGGAUAGAGCGCCCGCCUACGAAGCGGGAGGUGGCAGGUUCGAGUCCUGCCAGGCGUA
rnacentral:tRNA from 1 species